CCUACGGGUGGCAGCAGUGAGGAAUAUUGGUCAAUGGACGCAAGUCUGAACCAGCCAUGCCGCGUGCAGGAAGACGGCUCUAUGAGUUGUAAACUGCUUUUGUACGAGGGUAAACGCAGAUACGCGUAUCUGUCUGAAAGUAUCGUACGAAUAAGGAUCGGCUAACUCCGUGCCAGCAGCCGCGUUAAUACGGAGGAUUCAAGCGUUAUCCGGAUUUAUUGGGUUUAAAGGGUGCGUAGGAGGUCGGAUAAGUUAGAGGUGAAAUCCCGAGGCUCAACUUCGGAAUUGCCUCUGAUACUGUUCGGCUAGAGAGUAGUUGCGGUAGGCGGAAUGUAUGGUGUAGCUGUGAAAUGCUUAGAGAUCAUACAGAACACCGAUUGCGAAGGCAGCUUACCAAGCUACUUCUGACGUUGAGGCACGAAAGCGUGGGGAGCAAACAGGAUUAGAUACCCCGGUAGUC
rnacentral:rRNA from 1 species